GCCAGCAGCGAUAUCACCCGGCAACUCACAACUCACAACUGUCAGUCUCAGCAGGUGUGAGCCUGGUCAGUACCCGGAUGGGAGACCUCCUGAGAAAAACUAAGGGUGCUGCUGGAA
rnacentral:rRNA from 1 species